AUACGGAAGGUGCGAGCGUUAAUCGGAAUUACUGGGCGUAAAGCGCGCGUAGGCGGCUUGGUAAGUCGGGUGUGAAAGCCCCGGGCUCAACCUGGGAAUUGCAUUCGAUACUGCUGGGCUGGAGUACGAGAGAGGGGGGUGGAAUUCCAGGUGUAGCGGUGAAAUGCGUAGAUAUCUGGAGGAACACCGGUGGCGAAGGCGACCCCCUGGUUCGAUACUGACGCUGAGGUGCGAAAGCGUGGGGAGC
rnacentral:rRNA from 1 species